UAUUUACAUAGACCAUAGCAUGCAUAAUACAUACUUUAUAUGCAAAAAAAACCCAGAUGCCAGAUCUGCGCAGGAGACCAGAGCAUUGCUUUUGAAAGUUUGCUGCUGAAUCUGGUUGGCUGAACGGUAGAGAAUUUCUGUAUAAAUUUUCUUAUACAAUCCACAGCCCUCAGGAAGAGCAAGGUAGCCCGCGACGCUAAGGAAGCGCUCGUGUUUUGUUUUGAUGCACGUCAGCAGCAGUUCUGCAGACGCUGGGCCGUGGGCAGGUGAGGCGUCUCCGAGAGCCUUAGAGGAGCGCCGGCGUUGGCGGCAGCGGCUCCGUACACCUCCUCCACCAGCUACGGCAGGCUCUUCUCACACCGCCCUUGACGAUUUCUUGGCACAACAUGAAAAACAAAUGUUGAACUCUUUUUCCUAAUUUGUAGAACAUUUUCGAUUGCUUUACUCGUGUGGAAAAAAGGACGUGCCUGUAGUUAUGGUCUUUGGAGCUAUGUUGUGGGGGAAGUUUGUCAAGAUUGAAAAAUAACAUUUUUUUUUCCUUUGGAUUUUGGAUAUGGGAGUACUCCAAAACUCCAUAGAUUGUGUGAAAAAAGUGUUGGAGAGUGGGCUUUCUCAGGCCAGGAAUGUUCUGGUGCUACCAUCCACUUACUCCGGGGAUCUCUUCAAUUUGGUAACUGCAUUGCAAGAGGCUUGGCUCGUUCUUCUGGUGUCUCCAGCGAAGGUCCUCGUGAGCCGCUCCGGCAGAGACAGGGACUGCUCAGCUGCUGUGCCGUGGCGGAUCCUGCAACCGGCGGUGCAGCCGUGGCCUCUAGCCUGGGCACGCUUCUGCCGUGAGCCAGGCCAUGGACUUUGGACAAGGGAAAAACUAAAGAGUGUUUCAGUGACAUGGAGAGAAGAAGGAGAAAAAGGUCCUGCGCGUGGGCUCAGACAGCCUGGAAGCGCCGGCAGCAGUCAGCAGGAGGAGAGUGUCGCCGGGAUGUGCCGCUGCAAGGCCGAGAUAACCCAGCUCCUCGUCUUGCCCUUGGCUGCUAGGGUCUGCGUGCAGGCGGAGCUCUCCUGGCGCGGGGCGCUGCACAACGCCAUGCGCAGCCGUACCCCGAUGGCCGAGCGGAGAAAUCUGCGCUGCCGUGCUGUACGCUCGGUACGAGACACGUUUCUGGAUCAGUAAUCUAUCAUAAUUUUGUUGGACAGAAGGGAGUAGCACCAGGUUUCUUUCUUCUGGAGGAGAGAGAUUUUGAUUAAUUUUUCCCCUUCUCUUCAGGGUUAGCACUUUGCAUUAUAUAUGUUUCAAGGCAGGGAAAUUGCUUGCUUGACAGCUGUGGAUAAAACAUGAAACUUUAGAUAAUGUUUUAAAUUCACCAGGGACAAACCAGCUUCAAUGUAAUUGAUAAAUUAAACCGAAUUCAAAUAUCA
rnacentral:lncRNA from 1 species